GCUGGUGCGGAAACGCGCAUGUGCACGGCUUUUCGUGCUCAAAUCCAAUUAACCCCUGUGCACCUCAAGAGUCGGAGUCAGUAGCCUCUGUAAUCGAACGGCUUGAAGUAACGUCGGCUGUGAAAGGCAGACAGAAAAAGAGCUCUUCAAAGAGAGAGGAGGAGGCGAAAGCUUUUGGCUAAUAUUACAAACACCUUUUGAUUGUUAUAUGUGAAUGUAAUGCUCCUUGUGGGCGAUAAUGAAAUACAACUUUCAACAACGGAUCUCUUGGCUCUCGCAUCGAUGAAGAACGCAGCGAAAUGCGAUAAGUAAUGUGAAUUGCAGAAUUCAGUGAAUCAUCGAAUCUUUGAACGCACCUUGCGCCCUUUGGUAUUCCGAAGGGCAUGCCUGUUUGAGUGUCAUGUUAAUCUCAAACCACUUGUCUAUUUCGUUACUGAAUGGACUUGUGGUUUGGACUUGGAGGCUUUUGCUGGCCCGGGUGGCGGCUUCGUUACCCUUGGUUUGUCGGCUCCUCUGAAAUGUAUUAGCUGGACUUUGGUUCGCGUUUACGGUGUAAUAAUAAUAAUCAUUCAUUUCACUAAGACGCUUGCCUGAACGGUCUGCUUCUAAUCGUCCUUGACUUGGACAAGGAUCCCGUUAGUGGGCCUUCUUGACACCUUUGACCUCAGAUCAGGUAGGACUACCCGCUGAACUUAA
rnacentral:rRNA from 1 species